UACAGAGGGUGCAAGCGUUGCUCGGAAUCACUGGGCGUAAAGCGCACGUAGGCGGCUUUCUAAGUCAGGGGUGAAAUCCUGGAGCUCAACUCCAGAACUGCCUUUGAUACUGGAGAGCUAGAGUCCGGAAGAGGUGAGUGGAACUGCGAGUGUAGAGGUGAAAUUCGUAGAUAUUCGCAAGAACACCAGUGGCGAAGGCGGCUCACUGGACACAUAUUGACGCUGAGGUGCGAAAGCGUGGGGAGCAAACAGG
rnacentral:rRNA from 1 species